GGCUGGUCCGACGGCAGUGGGUUAUCAGAACUUAUUAACAUUAGUGUCACUAAAGUUGGUAUACCACCCCCGCCCACUGCUAAAUUUGACUGGCAAAA
ensembl:misc_RNA Y_RNA Y RNA